UAUUAUUGCCAAUAUGGAAGUGUGCAAACUACGGUGGAGACGACAAAAAUGGCGACAACGUACGAUCCCUGCUACCGCAAUCCGUGUCAGAACGGUGGAACGUGUUACCCGAAGAGAGCCUCGUACUGGCCGUACCAAUACACAGAAUACAGCUGUCAGUGUGACUCUUACCACUAUGG